rnacentral:rRNA from 1 species
UACGUAGGUGGCAAGCGUUGUCCGGAUUUAUUGGGUUUAAAGGAUGCGUAGGCGGUUCUAUAAGUCAGUGGUGAAAUACGGCAGCUCAACUGUCGAAAUGCCAUUGAUACUGUGGAACUUGAGUACAGACGAGGUAGGCGGAAUUGACGGUGUAACGAUGAAAUGCUUAGAUAUCGUCAAGAACACCGAUAGCGAAAGCAGCUUACUAGACUGUAACUGACGCUGAGGCACGAAAGUGUGGGGAUCAAACAGG